ACGCNGUAAACGAUGAGUGCUAGGUGUUAGACCCUUUCCGGGGUUUAGUGCCGCAGCUAACGCAUUAAGCACUCCGCCUGGGGAGUACGACCGCAAGGUUGAAACUCAAAGGAAUUGACGGGGGCCCGCACAAGCGGUGGAGCAUGUGGUUUAAUUCGAAGCAACGCGAAGAACCUUACCAGGUCUUGACAUCCCUCUGACCGCUCUAGAGAUAGAGUUUUCNUUCGGGACAGAGGUGACAGGUGGUGCAUGGUUGUCGUCAGCUCGUGUCGUGAGAUGUUGGGUUAAGUNNNNNAACGAGCGCAACCCCUAUUGUUAGUUGCCAUCAUUUAGUUGGGCACUCUAGCGAGACUGCCGGUAAUAAACCGGAGGAAGGUGGGGAUGACGUCAAAUCAUCAUGCCCCUUAUGACCUGGGCUACACACGUGCUACAAUGGCUGGUACAACGAGUCGCAAGCCGGUGACGGCAAGCUAAUCUCUUAAAGCCAGUCUCAGUUCGGAUUGUAGGCUGCAACUCGCCUACAUGAAGUCGGAAUCGCUAGUAAUCGCGGAUCAGCACGCCGCGGUGAAUACGUUCCCGGGCCUUGUNC
rnacentral:rRNA from 1 species